rnacentral:lncRNA from 1 species
AUUCUGAGUGAAUCUGUUUGUGCACAUGGGGCACUUGAAGGGGCGCUCGCCUGUGUGUGUGCGCAGAUGCUUCUUCAGGUUGCUAUUGCAAGUAAAUUUCUUUGUGCACAGGUGGCACUUGUAGGGGCGCUCGCCUGUGUGUGUACGCAGAUGCCCCUUCAGGUGGUUACUGAGAAUGAAUUUCUUUGUACACAGGUGGCACUUGAAGGGGCGCUCGCCUGUGUGUGUGCGCAGGUGUGC